UGCAAGUCGAACGAGAAGCUGUCGCAAGACGGUUGUAAAGUGGCAAACGGGUGAGUAAUGCAUGGGUAACCUACCCUCUGGUGGGGGAUAACUCCCCGAAAGGGGUGCUAAUACCGACGAUACGCACCGGCCUCGCAAGGGGCUGGUGGAAAGCCGAGCCGAGGGUUCGGCGCCGGAGGAUGGGCUCAUGUCCUAUCAGCUUGUUGGCGGGGUAAUGGCCCACCAAGGCUGCGACGGGUAGCUGGUCUGAGAGGACGACCAGCCACACUGGCACUGCGACACGGGCCAGACUCCUACGGGAGGCAGCAGUGAGGAAUAUUGCGCAAUGGACGACAGUCUGACGCAGCGACGCCGCGUGGGGGAUGAAGGCCUUCGGGUUGUAAACCCCUUUCGGGAGGGAAGAUGGGACGGGCAACCGUUCGGACGGUACCUCCAGAAGCAGCCACGGCUAACUCUGUGCCAGCAGCCGCGGUAAGACAGAGGUGGCAAGCGUUGUUCGGAUUUACUGGGCGUAAAGGGUGCGUAGGUGGUUAGGUAAGACCUGUGGGAAAGACCUGGGCUUAACCCAGGAAGGUCGCAGGUGACUGCCUAGCUAGAGGGCGGGAGAGGAGCGCGGAAUUCCCGGUGUAGCGGUGAAAUGCGUAGAGAUCGGGAGGAAGGCCGGUGGCGAAGGCGGCGCUCUGGAACGUUCCUGACACUGAGGCACGAAAGCGUGGGGAGCAAACAGGAUUAGAUACCCUGGUAGUCCACGCCCUAAACGAUGGGUACUAAGUGUCGGCGGGUUACCGCCGGUGCCGCACCUAACGGAGUAAGUACCCCGCCUGGGGAUUACGGCCGCAGGUUGAAACUC
rnacentral:rRNA from 1 species